GGGGGGGGGGCACUAACACGUAUCAGUCCAGAACAAAGGUAAAAACUACCAACCCACAGUUUUUCUUGAACUUCAAGAAGCACUGGAUUUCUUUCACAGAAGAAAGGGGUUUAUUGUUCUACACUGUAAACCAAAGAAAAGAUUAUCUUUGCAAGAAAAUGCUUUUCAAAGUCACCUCUAACAGCAACGGAUAGGAGAAAAGCAAAGGUACCAUUGCAAAAGUUUUGGUUAACUCCUCGGUGAACGGAUGACAACCGGCUUGAUCUAAGAUGCCCCCAAACAGACAGACACAAAGAAAUCACGGCAAUUCUAAAGCAAACACCAGCACCACACUCCAAUCUACCGGAAAUUCUGCGGUUAAUUUGAGGCUUGCCCCGCUAGUCAUAAGGUGAUUCAGCGAUGGUUACAAACGCUCUCCAAGUACAUCCUUGGGAGUCACCUAGCACACCUGGCUAGCCCAUCACCUGCCUGGAGCGCGGCCCUGCGGAGAAUCCCGGGGGCCAAAUCAAGACGCCAACUUCGCAAGUAAGGGGUGCGGGCGGUCUCACUCCAUCAGGACACCCAAAGAGAACGAUCUUCUGGCCUCCAGGGUGGGGGUGAAAGGCAUCAUCUGGCUCCUGUACAAUGAAUCAACUCAAGGAAAUCAAGGAAUCAAAUCAAGGAAAGGUAGAAAUUGGGUGAUCAGUCAGAAGCUAUUGAGAUAUGAUGAUGGCAUGGACUGGAGUGGGAAGAGCAAAAGGAUGAGAAGUGAGCAAAUGUGGAUAUGUUUUCAGCCAACAUAAUUCCCCUUCAGAUUGGCUAUGGGAUAAAGAGAGAGAAAUCAAAGUUGACGCUGGGAAUUGGGGGCUGGGCAACUAAAAGUUUAGAGUUGCCAUCUACUAUGACAGGGAAG
rnacentral:lncRNA from 1 species